UUAGUUAAAGCCAAAGAGAGGCAUGUUAUCGUUAAUAAUAUAAUUGAAUAAAUAAUUCUAACUAAA
rnacentral:tRNA from 1 species